rnacentral:rRNA from 1 species
AUGGGAACGCGAAGAACCUUACCUAGACUUGACAUCUCCUGAAUAGUGUAGAGAUACAUGAAGCCCUUCGGGGCAGGAAGACAGGUGGUGCAUGGUUGUCGUCAGCUCGUGUCGUGAGAUGUUGGGUUAAGUCCCGCAACGAGCGCAACCCUUAUUACUAGUUGCUACCAUUAAGUUGAGCACUCUAGUGAGACUGCCCGGGUUAACCGGGAGGAAGGCGGGGAUGACGUCAAAUCAUCAUGCCCCUUAUGUCUAGGGCAACACACGUGCUACAAUGGUGAGUACGGAUAGAUGCGAUACCGCAAGGUGGAGCCAAACUCUAAAACUCAUCCCAGUUCGGAUUGUAGGCUGCAACUCGCCUACAUGAAGUUGGAGUUGCUAGUAAUCGCGAAUCAGAAUGUCGCGGUGAAUACGUUCCCGGGUCUUGUACACACCG